rnacentral:rRNA from 1 species
CACCAGCGCCACAAGUGGGAAUCACUUUUAUUGGGCCUAAAGCGUCCGUAGCCGGUUUUGUAAAUCUUUUGUGAAAUUGUUAGGCUUAACUUAACAACGUGCAGGAGACACUGCAAGACUUGGAACUGGAGAGGGGUUAGGAGUAUUCUUGGGGUAGCGGUAAAAUGUUAUAAUCCUUGGAGGACCACCUGUGGCGAAGGCGCUCGACGAGAACGGAUCUGACGAUGAGGAACGAAAGCCAGGGGAGCAAACC